UACAGAGGAGCCAAGCGUUGUCCGGAUUGACUGGGCGUAAAGCGCACGCAGGCGGCUGCGCGCGUGGGGUGUGAAAUCUCGCCGCUUAACGGCCAGGCGCCAUCCCAUACGGCGCGGCUUGAGCCUUGCAGAGGGCGGUGGAAUUGACGGUGUAGCGGUGAAAUGCAUAGAUAUCGUCAAGAACACCGAUAGCGAAGGCAGCUUACUGGGCUGUAACUGACGCUGAUGCACGAAAGUGUGGGGAUCAAACAGA
rnacentral:rRNA from 1 species